UACAGAGGUCUCAAGCGUUGUUCGGAUUCAUUGGGCGUAAAGGGUGCGUAGGUGGCGAGGUUAGUCAGGUGUGAAAUCUCGGGGCUCAACCCCGAAACUGCACUUGAUACUGCCUUGCUAGAGUACUGGAGAGGAGAUUGGAAUUUACGGUGUAGCAGUGAAAAUGCGUAGAUAUCGUAAGGAAGACCAGUGGCGAAGGCGAAUCUCUGGACAGUUACUGACACUGAGGCACGAAGGCCCAGGGGGAGCAAAACGGGG
rnacentral:rRNA from 1 species